rnacentral:rRNA from 1 species
AGCGAACGCUGGCGGCAGGCUUAACACAUGCAAGUCGAGCGCCCCGCAAGGGGAGCGGCAGACGGGUGAGUAACACGUGGGAACGUGCCUUUUGGUUCGGAACAACCCAGGGAAACUUGGGCUAAUACCGGAUAAGCCCUUACGGGGAAAGAUUUAUCGCCAAAAGAUCGGCCCGCGUCUGAUUAGCUAGUUGGUGGGGUAAUGGCCCACCAAGGCUACGAUCAGUAGCUGGUCUGAGAGGAUGAUCAGCCACAUUGGGACUGAGACACGGCCCAAACUCCUACGGGAGGCAGCAGUGGGGAAUAUUGGACAAUGGGGGCAACCCUGAUCCAGCCAUGCCGCGUGAGUGAUGAAGGCCUUAGGGUUGUAAAGCUCUUUUAGCAGGGAAGAUAAUGACGGUACCUGCAGAAAAAGCCCCGGCUAACUUCGUGCCAGCAGCCGCGGUAA